CAGAUACCUACUAUCCUGAGCGCUGCCGAGAGCCCCGGUGCUGUCGUCCUCCACGUAGGGAUGUGCGACACUGGGCCCCGGCAGACGGAGAUCCUCAAUCAAGCUUCAGGAGCUAGAUUGAGACGGUUUAACGCACCUCGCCCACCACGCAGAUCAUUGUUUCUGGACCAAUACCUACCUACUGCCGAGGAAAUGAAAGGUUCAGUAGACUUUUUGCUCUGAAUGAAUGGCUAUUAACAAGGUGUAAAGCAGUGUUUCCCAACCCUGUUCCUGAAGGCAGACCAACAGUCCACAUUUUCAACCUCUCCCUAAUCAAACACACCUGAAUCAUCUCAUCAUAACAUCAGAAGAGACUCCAAAACCUGAAGUUAAUGGGUCAGAUAACGGAGACAUCCAAAAUAUGUACUGUUGGUGUGCCUCCAGGAACAGGGUUGGGAAACACUGGUGUAAAGAACAGAAAUUUCUCUUUGCCAAUAACUGGAAUCUUUUCUGGGAGCGUCCUAGGCUUUUCCGUGCUGACGGCCUGCACCCCAGUCGAGCUGGAGCUGAACUCCUGUUGGACAACAUCUCCAGAAUACUUCGCUCUAUCUGACUAGCCCUCAGACUAUGCAGAGUCACUGAUUCGAUCCAAGACCAACGACGAGAUGAUCCCAAGGUUUCUAUAUCCUGGACCAGGCCGAAUCCUGAGCAGCUACUGUGAUGGUCAUGGAAGAGUGGAGAACAUGAGACUGAUUGCUGUGAUGCUCCAGAGACAGACGAGUCUUCGCUGAGGCCAGCUUCCAGCCUCCGCCACCGAGACUGCAGCUCUGCACAAGACGUUUGGCCAGUGGAGAAAUUAAAAUGAUCGUGCCCAACUGAGCCUGGUUUCUCUCAAGGUUUUUUUUCUUCAUUUCCACAAUUAGUGAAGUUUUUUUCCCUCUCCGCUGUCGUCACUGGCUUGCAUGGUUCGGGAUCUGUAGAGCUGCGCAUCGUUGGAUUUGCCCUUCAAUAUUUGCAAUCUCAGUAGUGAUUAUUAAACCACGCUGAACUGAGCUCAACUGAACUGAACUUAAACACUACAAACUGAACUACACUGUUCCUUGAACUACACUGUUCCUAUUUAAACUACACUGUUCCUAUUUACUGUGACCUUUUAUGUGAAGCUGCUUUGACACAAUCUACAUUGUAUAAGCGCUAUACAAAUAAAGGUGAAUUGAAUUGAAUUGAAU